AUCCGAUUCAAGAAGAUAAAACCCAUUCCUAAACAAGACGCAAUUGCCGACCUUGAAUCCGGCGAAAGUGGCUUCUUCCCUAUGGUUCUUGUCCAAAUCCCCAUGUGCAACGAGAAAGAGGUUUAUCAACAAUCAAUGAUUGCUGCUGUGUGUAAUUUGGACUGGCCUAAAUCGAAGAUUCUAAUUCAAGUUCUAGACGAUUC
rnacentral:misc_RNA from 1 species